GACGAACGCUGGCGGCGUGCUUAACACAUGCAAGUCGAACGGAAAGGCCCUGCUUUUGUGGGGUGCUCGAGUGGCGAACGGGUGAGUAACACGUGAGUAACCUGCCCUUGACUUUGGGAUAACUUCAGGAAACUGGGGCUAAUACCGGAUAGGAGCUCCUGCUGCAUGGUGGGGGUUGGAAAGUUUCGGCGGUUGGGGAUGGACUCGCGGCUUAUCAGCUUGUUGGUGGGGUAGUGGCUUACCAAGGCUUUGACGGGUAGCCGGCCUGAGAGGGUGACCGGCCACCUUGGGACUGCGAGACGGCCCAGACUCCUACGGGAGGCAGCAGUGGGGAAUAUUGCACAAUGGGCGGAAGCCUGAUGCAGCAACGCCGCGUGCGGGAUGACGGCCUUCGGGUUGUAAACCGCUUUCGCCUGUGACGAAGCGUGAGUGACGGUAAUGGGUAAAGAAGCACCGGCUAACUACGUG
rnacentral:rRNA from 1 species